CCUCGGGAGGCAGCAGUAGGGAAUAUUGCGCAAUGGGGGCAACCCUGACGCAGCAAUGCCGCGUGAGUGAAGAAGGCCUUCGGGUCGUAAAGCUCUUUUAUGGGGGAAGAUGAUGACGGUACCCCAUGAAUAAGCACCGGCUAACUACGUGCCAGCAGCCGCGGUAAUACGUAGGGUGCGAGCGUUGUUCGGAAUUACUGGGCGUAAAGGGCGUGCAGGCGGAUUGGCAAGCCGGAGGUGAAAGCCCGGGGCUCAACCCCGGAGGGUCUUUCGGAACUGCCAGUCUUGAGAGGGUCAGGGGCCAGCGGAAUUCCUGGUGUAGAGGUGAAAUUCGUAGAGAUCAGGAGGAACACCGGCGGCGAAAGCGGCUGGCUGGGGCCACUCUGACGCUGGGGCGCGAAAGCGUGGGGAGCAAACAGGAUUAGAUACCCUGGUAGUCCACGCCGUAAACGAUGGGCACUAAGCGUCCGACGGGUUCGACCCUGUUGGGUGCUGCAGUUAACGCGUUAAGUGCCCCGCCUGGGGAGUACGGUCGCAAGACUAAAACUCAAAGGAAUUGACGG
rnacentral:rRNA from 1 species